GUGGUCUGUAGCUCAGUUGGUAGAGCACUGGAUUGUGAUUCCGGUGGUCGUGGGUUCGAGUCCCAUCAGCCACCCCA
rnacentral:tRNA from 1 species